AAAGGGAGACCUAAUUCAGGUAAGAGACGAAAAAAAAGUAGUCGCUACCAAGAAUCAAUCCCAAAAGGUCGGAGCGAGGCGAAAUUGGCUUUCAAACUAGGUUCUGGGUUCAAACAAGACCUGAAUCAGGAACAAGGGCUAUUAGCUCAGGUGGUUAGAGCGCACCCCUGAUAAGGGUGAGGUCCCGGGUUCGAGUCCAGGAUGGCCCACCUGCACAGGUGGCAAAAACAAGAGAAGCGAGGAAUCAGCACCUUAUCUUACUGACAUAGUAAGAGAGAAUGCUGGCUCUGAGUAAAGAGUCCAGAGGAACCUUGAAAACUGCAUAGAGCUAGGUGAAAAAGCCAAAAAAGAAGACCGCAAG
rnacentral:tRNA from 1 species